UUUUCAGACCAAAGAGGAAAAGACUUUAUCAACAGAGUAGAAAAAACUCUAUCAAAAUACAAUUUGAAAUCUAGUAGCUACUACAUAGAAAAUCCACUGAAUAAAAUCGAAUGGAAAAGACUAGUAGGAAUAAAGAUCAAGGAAUACUGGAAAAAUUAAUGUCAUAAUGAAAAAAUGGAGAAAAAAAAACAUCACUUAAAUACAUAGAGAUACAGAACAAUCCAUUAAAUGAAGCUCACAAUAUAUGGAAAAGUGUAAAAAACAAUAGUAAAGAUGUAAAGGCAGGAGAAAUAAAAGCAAGAAUAAGUACUCAAACGUACAUAUUCCAAGCC
rnacentral:lncRNA from 1 species